UACGUAGAGUGCGAGCGUUGUCCGGAAUUAUUGGGCGUAAAGAGCUUGUAGGCGGUUUGUCGCGUCUGCUGUGAAAAUCCGGGGCUCAACCCCGGACUUGCAGUGGGUACGGGCAGACUAGAGUGUGGUAGGGGGAGACUGGAAUUCCUGGUGUAGCGGUGGAAUGCGCAGAUAUCAGGAGGAACACCUGCGGCGAAGGCGGGUUGCUGGGCUGACACUGACGCUGGAGGCGCGAAAGCCUAGGGGAGCGAACGGGG
rnacentral:rRNA from 1 species